rnacentral:tRNA from 1 species
GGCGCGGUAGCUCAGCUGGUAGAGCGCCGCCCUGAAAAGGCGGGCGUCGCCGGUUCAACUCCGGCCUGCGCCA